AUCAGACUGGCACUUAAAGCAGAGUGGACUAGAGUGAGAGAAUUCUCGGUUUGAUCCUGAUCGACGAUAUGUCAAAUAUUAGG